rnacentral:rRNA from 1 species
AAACGACUCUCGGCAACGGAUGUCUCGGCUCUCGCAUCGAUGAAGAACGUAGCAAACUGCGAUACUUGGUGUGAAUUGCAGAAUCCCGUGAACCAUCGAGUUUUUGAACGCAAGUUGCGCCCGAAGCCAAUAGGCCGAGGGCACGUCUGCAUGGGCGUCACGCAUCGCGUCGCCCCCCCAAACAGCGCCCCGAAAGGAUGCUGCUAAGGGGGACGUAAAUUG